rnacentral:rRNA from 1 species
GAUGAACGCUGGCGGCGUGCCUAAUACAUGCAAGUCGAGCGAACAGACGAUGAUCUUGCGCCUCUGGCGUUAGCGGCGGACGGGUGAGUAACACGUGGAUAACCUACCUAUAAGACUGGGAUCACUUCAGGAAACCCGAGCUAAUACCAGGUCAUUUCUUUAACCGCAGUGUUCAAUAGUGAAAUACGGUUUUGCUGUCACUUAGAGAUGUAUCCGCUCCUCAGUAGCGAACUGGUCAGGUAACGGCUUAACGAGGCAACGGUCCGUAGCCGACCUGAGCGGGUGGCCGGCCACACAGGAAGUGCGACAAGGUCCAGACUGCUACGGGAGGCAGCAGUAUGGAAUCUUCAGCAAUGGGCGAAAGCUUGCAGGAGCAACGACGCGUGAGUGAUGAAGGUCUGCGGAUCGUAACACUCUGCUAUUAGGGAAGAACAAAUGUGUAAGUCACUAUGCACGUCUUGACGGUACCUAAACAGAAAGCCACGGCUAACUACGUG